CCCCCCACCCUGCCUCUGACCUGGGUGCUCAGGUGCCCAUCACAUGCCACCCUCAACAGGCUCUCUGAAGACAAGCCUGUGGGUCAUGAUUUCCCGCUCCCCCAGCUCGUGCUGCACGGCAGCUCAGCAGCAGGUCUGCUCCUCUGUGCUGAACUGAAGGGAGCCGAGUGCUCGCCCUCCGUCCGGGCCGGAGCUCAGAUCGUCCUGCCUCACGUACAAGAAGUAACCAGUUCUUUGGCCUUCAGACUCCCUGUUUCACUGGAUGAGGACAGCUCUGUGCCAGAGAAUGAGCUGGGAUCUGCCCUGACAAGUGGAGCCUCGUUUGAAAGUGUCGGUAACAGGCUCUGUGUCUGAACCAAAGUUUCCCUUGCAACCUGGUGUGGCUGCAUGAUGGAGUUUGGGCCGUGACAUAUGGUGGGUUUGACGUGUGCCACUCUUAGGGCCAACUUCUAAAGCCUCCAAGACACAGCCCCAUGCCCUGUGCCCUUCUGCAGCUCAGAGCAGAUGAGCCCAGUGACCUUGAGGCCCUUGAAGAUGGUGGAACCAGGAGACAUGAGGGGCCUUGGCCUGGAAACACAACUCGAAGGGAAAUCACUCAUCUGGAAAACGUGUUUGGACCCAUACCACACCGUGGCAAAUACCUGGUAAAACUGUCAUCUGAAAUUGCUUGGAAAUAGGACACUACCACCUAAACCCACAGCUCGUAGGCCAGGGCACCUCAACUGUAGUCCCCAGACCAGCAGCAUCGGUGUUACCUGGAAAAUUAAAAAUGCAAAGUUUUGGGCCCACUUCAGACCCCAGGUCAGAAAUUGUGGGUUGCAGAAAUCUGUGUUUUAAUAACCCUUCAGAUGACUGUGGUGCCCGACAAAGUUGAAAUGCCUGCUCCCAUGUGUGCUGGGUUUAGUUUGUGCUUUAGCAAAGCGGGAUAAGAAAGAAAGGAGGCCAGGAUGGAAUUCGCUGGUUUCCAACUAGAAGUGACAGAAAAUAGAAAGAGUCCAGUAAUGUGAGGUCUUGAAGUGUUGGGAGAAUUCAUUCAUCACUUCUAGAUUCCAGACAAUCAGAAAUAAAAUUUUAAAAGUCUUUCAAUGACAAACUAAGACUUCUCAGUUGGGAAAAAAAAAAAAAAAGGACUCAGUCUUGUUGCAGACAUGAGAUGAAGAGUGUGGUCUUUUCACAAAUGCCUGUGCAAGGGAGUCAAGGACAGAAGCCAUCCGGUGGGCUCCUUGGCACGGGGGCGGCUGAAGCAAACCAACCAGGAGCCCACGCAGCUGUCAAGGGCUUGUGUCAGCAAGUAAAGCCUAGACUGCUUGUGACUGUGAAGUGUAAAAGUGCCCCUGGGUCCUCAGGCCUGUGGACAGGACAAAGCCAAAGCCGCCCAGCGCCGUGUGAUGCGGCCACAGAGAACACGAGCCUCGGGAGAGAGGAGCCUGGGGCUGGAAAACAAGGGUGAAGGACGCUCCCCUCUGGCUGCAGGAGAGGGGCUGCUGAGGGCAAGAUCCAUCAUUUCUUGGGACCAAUGAUGCUGCUUCCUACUCUCUGCUUUCUGCCUGGGAGUUUUGUCUGGGACGCCUGUGUCUGCCCCACUCACUGUGUGGUGCAAGCUCCAUUUCCAGUGAGGACAACCGUGGCUGCCGAGAGCACCUUACAAGCCAGGCAUCCUCCUCUGAGCUCAAGGCAGCCUUGAGAAGUGGGACGAAGACUUCCUUCACGGGAAGAGGAGCGGCUCAGAGAAAGGAAGAGGCUAGUCCAGAACCACCACGUGGACAUCUUCUGUGAAGGCAAGGGCUCACCCUCACCCUGACGCCAGCCACCUGCCCCUCUUAAUAGGAGGGCGGGCCCUCCCCGCACAGCAGGCACUUCACUGCAGGCUCUGCUGCCUUUGGGAAAUGUGCCUCCCUUGUAGAGCUCUGUGGUGCAGAUUCGGCUAUCAAAGGAGUAGAACCCCCCCCUCCCCCCCGCCACCGUCCCACCCCCACAGAGCAGCUAAGAAAGCUGUUUGAUUUAACCCGUGGUUUCCCAAAUACUUUAGACCACUAAUUAAUUUUGUUUUCUGAAACAUUCGUUAAUAUGUUCACAGAAAAUUGUGGCAUUCACUUUGGAAAAUAUAUCUGUUUAAGAACAGAUAAUGAAUACAUAACAAAUUUAGAACUGUGUUAAGAUUCCAUAACUAAAACCACUCUAAACUUUCUGAAAUGGCUGAAAACGUUUCCCUAACUUUUCUGAAAGUACUUGCUGGGCUUCUUGGAGACUGAAUCAUCCCUUUUGAGCCCACUUAGGGGAAAGUUCAAAAGACCUCAGAGAAGACAAAAAGCAGGGCAAGAGAGACGGCCCAGUCUUCUAGCUCUCCACUGGAGAAAAUGCAUGUGGGAAAGGCUGGGGGUUUCCAUCCUCAAUAUUUAGUAAAAGAUAAAGUAAAAAUUACAACUGCCUUCUGAAUGGCUCCCCUCCCCUGACUUCAUGGGAGUGAUGACUCAGCCCUCUGUUUUGUAACUGCGGAGAUUGAAAGUGGAGACGGGACCUUUGGCAUUUCAGAAAAUGUCGACGCCGCUUUCUUCUGCUUUCUCCGGGACCCCUCUGGGGCCUCGCCUCCUCCCCUCCCGCUGAAAGCCUGCUGUGAAAGGAGCAAGGAUGUGAAAAAGAUGUACGACUCUUUGCUUCCUUAUGCUCGGCCCAAGUUUAUCAAAAGCUGUGGAGUUUGCUAAAAUAAUCCAGGGAAUUCGCCUGGAAAUGGUUUUUUUUUUUUUUUUUGGUUGUUGUUUGUCUUCACUUGUUCCAAAGAAGCAAAAUAAGACAGGGGCUGCCCCUUGUCCUGUCUCAUUCAUUUUUGACACCCUUGUUUCUCCACACAGGCCCUGGGGUGAAGGGCACAGGUGGGAUUCAGAAUAGAAAUGACUCGAGGGACGCAAGGAGUUGGGAUCAGAAGAAGCAGCAGAAACUCCUGCUCUGCAGACACAGCAGACAUUACUGGGAAAGACACCAGAGACCCAGGAGUUCACCCAAGUCCUCUGCACACUGUCUUCCCAGCCCUCUCUCCUGGAUCUGAGAUGAUUUCACUUAAAAACACAAGCCUUUGCUUAAAGGGAGAUAUAAGUGACAGCCACCUGGUGGUCAGGAGAACAAACUGCCGCCGUGUCUCCACACCCUGUGUGUCCUGAACACCGCUGGGAAGCCGUCAGCAGACGCUCCGCAGGCCACCGGGGCGAUCGGGGCACUAAAGGCCAAGCAGGCUUCACACACUGCCAAAGUCCAGGUGACCAGAGAGUAUGACCGGACACAAAGGUGGGACAAGCCGUUUCUCAUUGUUACUGAGAAGCAACUGUGAGUGAACAAAGCUUACAGAGAGAUCCGAGAUCAGAUGGGUACCCAUGGCAGGAGGGGAGGCGUUUAUGAGAGUCCCCGGUGGGCACAUAUUAAAAAAAGCUAAGUAGAAAAAUCACUGAGAACUCAUAACUGGUCAAUGAGUUCAGGUAGACAAUGAGGGAGGGUUUGGAGGAUGGCGAAAGAUCAAAGGGGCCCUGAUGGAGUGGGAGGUUCAGAGGGAGGAGACGCUGCCAUGUUCAGCCUCCAGGAGCCACCACAGGUUGUGCAUAGGUGCUGUGUUGACUUCUGCUGAGGAAAUUCACAAAAUAUACUUCCCCCAGAGAAGGAGGAAUGUGGAGCAGGCGUUAAAAAGCAGCCUGCACUCACCUUCGGAGGCCCUCGGUGGGAUGUCCUCUUCCCAGCCCUUUCCUUUCUCUCCCUCGGGUGCCUUUUCCUGCCUGGUUUCCUUGGUUAUUGUGUUUGGAAUGCAACUUUGACUAGUUGUUGAAUGGUGAAGUGGCAAAUGGUAGGUGGAUUCUGGCUUGCCGCACCCAUCCCACAGGUGGAGGUCUUGUGAGAACGACUCCAGCAGCCUCCAGACAAAUGACUGUUGACUAAAGUGAAAUGUUAUGCACAUGAAAUGCAAGAGAUGACUAGACACGCACUGGAUGGAAUUCCACAGCAGGUGGGAGACUUGGGAAAGAUCCUUGUUUUCGUAAGAAAACACAAUCUCAGCUGGGUGCGGUGGCUCACGCCUGUAGUCCUGGCACUUUGGGAGGUCGAGGUGGGCAGAUCACCUGAGGCCAGGAGUUUGAGACCAGCCUGGAUAACAUGGUGAAACCCCGUCUCUACUAAAAAAUAUGAAAAUUAGCUGGGCCUGGCGGCACCUGUGGUCCCACUUACUCGGGAGUCUGAGGCAGGAGAAUCGCUUGAGCCCGGGAGGCAGAGGUUGCAGUGAGCCAAGGUUGUGCCUGUGCACUCCAGCCUGGGCAACAGCGUGAGAUCCUGUCUCAAAAAAAAAAAAAAAAAAAAAAAAAGAAGAGAAAGAAAAAGAAAACACGGUCUUCAAAUCCCAUAACCUGAGCACAAAAGACUCUUGGCUCGCUGAUUCGUCUCCCACCUCCUCCUCCCCGCACAGGGACAGAUACUGACCGGGUGUGAGAGUAAGGCCCCGUGAAGACGAACCUUGGGGAGCUCACUGGGGUCCCUACUUGGAAUUUUAAAGCAAAACCAUGUUGCUGGAAGUGAAAUCCUCUUCAGAUUUACGAAUUAUGGGGCUCCAUUGGAGGAAACAAUCCCUAUGGGCCAAUGACCUCGUUUCAUCCCAAAUUAUCCUCUGGUUUUACAACUGGUUAGUUUCUUGUAUUUCCAGGAUUUAUAAAUUGCAAGUUUGCUUGUGAAGUGGUAGAAUCCAUUUUUGAAUUUGUUUCUUAACUAUUGAUAGGGCUAGUAAAAUUCAAAUGAUUGCAUAAACCUUAGAAACUAAGGUCAGUUCAGUGAACAUUCUUGGUGCUAUUUCAACAAUCCUUGAAGGUUUAACACGUCUGUGAUAUUACUGUGUGAUUUCGUGUUAUCACUGUCUUAUGUGCAUUCUAAGCAUGAAACUGUGUCCAGUAGCUGUUUUUGAGGACCCUACUAAUUAUACAGCUGAUGGUAGCAUCAGCCGUUUGUUCAAUGUUAAAUUAUUUUGUAUUUUCUAAACAACUGACAUUUUCUCCUAGCAAACUACUGAUAGGAAAUUGUAUGUGCCAUGUUUUCUUCCAACAGUCUUGAAUAUGCCACUGCAUUCCUGCCUGGGUAAAAGAGUGAGACCCUCUCUCAAAAAAAAACUAAAAUGAAAAGGCCCAGGAUGAAAUAGAGUGUUUCAAAACCCACAGCUACUCCCCAUCCUUUUUCUAUCCCAAGAGCUGUGCCUCAGGGAUGUAAUAAAAUAAACAUACAAACUUUCUAAAGGCUGAUUUUACAAUUUUUAAUUAAAUAAAUACUACUCAGAACCUUUUCAUGGGGUAUAACUCAAGUUGUUUUUCAGUGUUUGAAGAAGAUCAGGUUCACAUUUAAGUCAGCUAAUUAUUAAUUAUCAGCAAAGGCAUAAAAUACACCUGGUGGUUAUUUACUUAUUCUCUUA
rnacentral:lncRNA from 1 species